CCUACGGGUGGCAGCAGUGAGGAAUAUUGGUCAAUGGCCGAGAGUCUGAACCAGCCAAGUCGCGUGAGGGAUGAAUGUCCUAUGGAUUGUAAACCUCUUUUGUCAGGGAGCAAACUUACCCACGUGUGGGUGUUUGAGAGUUCCUCAAGAAAAAGCAUCGGCUAACCCCGUGCCCGCCGCCGCGGUAAUACGGAGGAUGCGAGCGUUAUCCGGUUUUAUUGGGUUUAAAGGGUUCGUAGGCGGGAUAUCAAGUCAGCGGUAAAAUCGUGGAGCUCAACUCCAUCCAGCCGUUGAAACUGGUGAGCUGGAGUGGGCGAGAGGUAUGCGGAAUGCGUGGUGUAGCGGUGAAAUGCAUAGAUAUCACGCAGAACUCCGAUUGCGAAGGCAGCAUACCGGCGCCCGACUGACGCUGAAGCACGAAAGCGUGGGUAUCGAACAGGAUUAGAUACCCCAGUAGUC
rnacentral:rRNA from 1 species